GGGGAAACCUCAAGGGCGGUGAUCACAGAUUGCAAAAGGGGAACAUUGGGGAGGAGAAGGUGCAAUGGUACUAUGCUAUGCUAUCUCUUGUGCUAGGCGCCAAUAUGCCACUCUCAGUGCGCAUCGCGCGCCUGUGUGCAGAACUUGGCAAGGCGCAUUGCUAUCCUCAACCCAACGCUUCCUCUCUUGCCCUCUGUGGUCGCGAAGCAAGACCGUUCCGUAGGUGAACCUGCGGAAGGAUCAUUA
rnacentral:rRNA from 1 species